ACAGAGGGUGCGAGCGUUAAUCGGAAUUACUGGGCGUAAAGCGCGCGUAGACGGUUUUGUAAGUCAGAUGUGAAAUCCCUGGGCUCAACCUGGGAACUGCAUUUGAGACUGCAUGGCUAGAGUAUCGAAGAGGGAAGUGGAAUUUCCGGUGUAGCGGUGAAAUGCGUAGAUAUCGGAAGGAACACCAGUGGCGAAAGCGACUUCCUGGUCGAAUACUGACGUUCAUGUGCGAAAGCGUGGGGAGCAAACAGG
rnacentral:rRNA from 1 species